rnacentral:rRNA from 1 species
GGAUUAGAUACCCUGGUAGUCCACGCCCUAAACGAUGAAUACUCGAUGUUUGCGAUAUACAGUAAGCGUCUAAGCGAAAGCGUUAAGUAUUCCACCUGGGGAGUACGUCCGCAAGGAUGAAACUCAAAGAAAUUGGCGGGGGUCCGCACAAGCGGUGGAUUAUGUGGUUUAAUUCGAUGAUACGCGAGGAACCUUACCAGGGCUAGAAUGUUAGUGGGAUAUAGAGGGAAACCUUUAUAGCUUUUCGGAGCUGCUAGCAAGGUGCUGCAUGGUUGUCGUCAGCUCGUGCC